CCUACGGGGGGCUGUAGUGGGGAAUAUUGCACAAUGGGGGAAACCCUGAUGCAGCGACGCCGCGUGAGUGAAGAAGUAAUUCGUUAUGUAAAGCUCUAUCAGCAGGGAAGAAAAGGACGGUACCUGAGUAAGAAGCCCCGGCCAACUACGAGCCAGCAGCCGCGUGAAUAAGAAGGGGGCAAGCGGUAUCCGGAGUUACUGGGUGUAAAGGGGGCGUUGGUGGGAGUGCAAGUCUGGAGUGAAAGGCGGGGGGUCAAGCCCCGGACUGCUCUGGAAACUGUACGGCUGGAGUGCAGGAGAGGUAGGUGGAAGUCGUGGUGUAGCGGUGAAAUGCGUAGAUAUUAGGAAGAACGCCGGUGGCGAAGGCAGCUUACUGGACUGUAACUGACGUUGAGGCACGAAAGCGUGGGGAGCGAACAGGAUUAGAUACCCGAGUAGUC
rnacentral:rRNA from 1 species